rnacentral:rRNA from 1 species
UGCGUAGGCGGUUUCGUAUGUCAGAUGUGAAAUCCCAUUGCUCAACGAUGGAAUUGCAUUUGAAACUGCGGAACUGGAGUGCAGGAUGGGAGAGCGGAAUUCUUGGUGUAGCGGUGAAAUGCGUUGAUAUCAAGAGGAACACCGGUGGCGAAGGCGGCUCUCUGGAAUGUUACUGACGCUGAGGCACGAAAGUUGGGGGAGCAAACA